rnacentral:rRNA from 1 species
UUCGCAAUGCCCGAAAGGGUGACGAAGCGACGCCGCGUGUGGGAAGAAGGCCUUCGGGUUGUAAACCACUGUCGGGAGUUAAGAAAUGCAAGAAUGUUAAUAGCGUUUUUGCUUGACUAAGGCUCCGGAGGAAGCCACAGCUAACUCUGUGCCAGCAGCCGCGGUAAUACAGAGGCGGCAAGCGUUGUUCGGAAUUAUUGGGCGUAAAGAGCACGUAGGCGGCUAUAUAAGUCGGUUGUGAAAGCCUUCCGCUCAACGGGAGAACAGCAUCCGAUACUGUGUGGCUUGAGUGUGGGAGGGGAGAGCGGAACUUCUGGUGGAGCGGUGAAAUGCGUAGAUAUCAGAAGGAACGCCGGCGGCGAAAGCGGCUCUCUGGCCCAUAACUGACGCUGAGUGUGCGAAAGCUAGGGGAGCAAACGGGAUUAGAUACCCCGGUAGUCCUAGCCGUAAACGAUGGGCACUAAGUAGAGGGGUU